GAUGAACGCUGGCGGCAUGCCUAAUACAUGCAAGUCUAGCGCACGGACGCGAUUCCUGCUUCUCUGAUGUUAGGGGCGGACGGUUGAGUAACAGGUGGAUAACCUACCUAUAGGACUGAGAUACCUUCACGACACCGGAGCCCAUACCGGAUGAUAUUUUGACCCGCCUGGUUCAAAAGUAAAAGACGGUCUUGCUGUCACUUACAGACGAAUCCGCGCUGCAUUAGCUAGUUGGUAAGGUAACGGCUUACCAAGGCAACGAUGCAUAGCCGACCUGAGCGGGUGAGCGGCCACGCUGGAACUGAGACACGGUCAAGAGUCGUACGGGAGGCAGCAGUAGGGAAUCUUCCGCGCUGGGCGAAGGCCUGAUGGAGCAAGGCCGCGUGAGUGAUGAAGGUAUUCUGAUCGUAAAACUCUGUUAUUAGGGAAGAACAGUUGUGUAAGUAACUGUGAACAUAUUGACGGUACCUAAUCAGAAAGCGACGGCUAACUACGUG
rnacentral:rRNA from 1 species